rnacentral:lncRNA from 1 species
AAAUUUGCAGUGGCUUAGCUCGGCUAUGCCAGGAUAUACGUAGCGUUAGCAAAGGUUCAGCCGAAUAUUCCUAGCUUUCCAGAUUGACUAGGAUUAUUAACCUUCUUGUGUUCAUUCAUCGUACGAUGAACCGCUAAUUGCCAGGCAACUACUUCGGGAUCCGAUGAGAUAA